AAACACCCAAAACUCCUCUAAAAAUUUUCUCUAGAAGUAAGAAAAAGGAGAAAGAAGAGGAGGCUAGGUCAAGCACAAGUCUCCAAUUUUCAACCUUUUAUGGGCAUUACGACUAAGCUAAGACUCGUGGCUAGCUUCAUUGAUGAGCAAGGAAGUGAAGAUUUGGUUAGUCCUCAUUGUGUUCAAGGAUGUGAUCACCCUUUUCUCUUAUGUAUUUCUUUCAUGCAUUGCACUAUUGUAUGAGAUGUGUGCCAAAACUUUAUUCAUGUUGUUUUAAAUGGCUUGAGACUAUGGUAUUCUUCAGCUCGUUUUAUAAAAGACUUUGAUUGUGUUGAAA